UACGGAGGGUGCAAGCGUUAUCCGGAUUCACUGGGUUUAAAGGGUGCGUAGGAGGGCAGGGAAGUCAGUGGUGAAAUCUCCGGGCUUAACUCGGAAACUGCCGUUGAUACUCUCUGUCUUGAAUCCCGUGGAGGUGAGCGGAAUAUGUCAUGUAGCGGUGAAAUGCUUAGAUAUGACAUAGAACACCAAUUGCGAAGGCAGCUCGCUACACGAAGAUUGACUCUGAGGCACGAAAGCGUGGGGAUCAAACAGGAUUAGAAACCCCCGUAGUCC
rnacentral:rRNA from 1 species